rnacentral:rRNA from 1 species
UUUCCGGUUGAUCCUGCCGGACCUGACUGCUAUCGGAUGAUACUAAGCCAUGCGAGUCAUUGUAGCAAUACAAGGCAUACGGCUCAGUAACGCGUAGUCAACCUAACCUAUGGACGGGAAUAACCUCGGGAAACUGAGAAUAAUGCCCGAUAGAACAUUAUGCCUGGAAUGGUUUAUGUUCCAAAUGAUUUAUCGCCGUAGGAUGGGACUGCGGCCUAUCAGUUUGUUGGUGAGGUAAUGGCCCACCAAGACUAUUACAGGUACGGGCUCUGAGAGGAGUAGCCCGGAGAUGGGUACUGAGACACGGACCCAGGCCCUAUGGGGCGCAGCAGGCGAGAAAACUUUGCAAUGUGCGAAAGCACGACAAGGUUAAUCCGAGUGGUUUCUGCUAAAGAAACCUUUUGUCAGUCCUAGAAACACUGAUGAAUAAGGGGCGGGCAAGUUCUGGUGUCAGCCGCCGCGGUAAAACCAGCACCUCAAGUGGUCAGGAUGAUUAUUGGGCCUAAAGCAUCCGUAGCCGGCUCUGUAAGUUUUCGGUUAAAUCUGUACGCUCAACGUACAGGCUGCCGGGGAUACUGCAAAGCUAGGGAGUGGGACAGGUAGACGGUACUCGGUAGGAAGGGGUAAAAUCUUUGAUCUAUUGAUGACCCCUGUGGAGAAAGCGGCCUACCAAAACACGUCGACAGGGAGGGAUUAAGCUGGGAGCCA